CAGCCUUGGGCCGAGCGCCCUCUGGUGGCCGCGAGCUGGCUGCAGCACGGGCAGGGCUCGGGUUGCCAGGGUCCCAGCUGGGGACCAGGCCAGGGGUGGUUAUGCGGCCCCAUUCCCUCCCGCAAAAGUGGCCAGACACACAACGUUCUGCCUGCGACUCUGGGGGGGCUCACGGUGCCCUGAGCCCCUCUACAGGUCCCCGGUUCAAUUUCUGCUCUGCCCUCUCAUCAGGGUCUCCCUUCCCACUUAGAGCCUCAAAGUCAAAACCCCAGUGUCGGGCAAGGGCUGAUGGUCUCUCGUGGGGAACGUUCCUGCAAGCUGGGACCCCUGGAAAUCCCCAGCCCAGCUUCUUCAGGGGCCCCAGGGAUCUCACCUGAGACCACGCCUGUGGCCUUGCAGCCCCGAGUCCCUACAACAGCUGCCUUUUCCAGAUUCCCGCUCGUACGGACUCACUCCGUCCUUCCAUGUCGUCCAUGACGAAGGCGAUUCUUACCCCCUUCACGUGGUAAAAACACUGAGGCACAGAGAGGUCAAGCUACUCACCCAAGGUCACACAGCCCGAGAAGAGCCUGCUGGGAUUUUAAACCUAGGAGGCAAAGAUGAUAUCAACAUCUGGCUCACAGGAGACCCCGCGUCAGUGUUGCUCACUGCACAUUUCUGAGCCACCCACACCUCGGAGCUCCCUCCCCACCUUGCCCUCCUAGGCAGCUUCUUCCUUCUCUGACUCCCAGCAUCGCCCCUAGUUUAACCUGACAGUCGGCUGGGCCAGGUCGGAAUCGGGAUCUGCCUGCCCCUGGCGAUGCCUGUCCAGGCCUGGAGGACAGCAAGCCUCCCGCCCUGGGCCUGUAAGGCAGUGCUUUAAGAGGUCACAUGUUUAACCCUGACGAUGACCCCAUGAAGUGGACAAACUGGGAUUUUGCCCAUUUUACAGAUGAGCAAACUGAGGCUCAGAGGAGCAAGCUCACCGCCCAAGAUUAAAGGCAGAUCUGACUGGUCCCCUCUGUGCGUCCGCUCCCUGAGUGUCCCUUCCGGGCACCCAGGACCCUCUGACUCCAAAAGGAUCCCGGGGCAGGUCACGGAAUGGCUAUCGAGCAGACAUUGGGAGGCCGGGGUGGGCCCGGUCCCCAGUGCCAGGAUGUUUGGCCCCCAAGGUGGGUUUCUCAAGACCCCCCUUUGCGCCACGGCACCAAAGACUCUGAAGUUUCGAUCUUCCUCAAGGGAAGCAAAAGCAAAACCAAGAAAUUCUGGGAAACUCACUCCAACCGCCCAGCAGGCCCGAGUCAGCCCCGGACCACUUCCAAAAGUAUGCGCUGCUGCUCCGAUCACGUGGUUCGAGAAUGUUCCCUGACGCAGAACGAGAUCCACACCCAGCGGCGCGUGGGGAACGAGCCCGGGGGGCCACAGAGCUCCCCGUGGGGCGUGAUUCACUUUUCCGAUGAAAGAACGUGUCCCUGCAGGUGUGGGGCUGUGAGGUCCCAG